rnacentral:lncRNA from 1 species
AUUAUUCACUUAUAUGCGUUAUGUAUGGUCCUGCUAAAGGUCUCCAAAGUUUUGUAUAAGAAUGUACAAAGGAGAACAGAGCAACAAUCGUCAAAAUAGGUAAAAGGAUACGAACCGCAUGCAGUGAGCACCAUAAUAUUUUACAAGCAAAAAAACCAUGAGACGUACCAGUCAUGCAAUUAUAAAUAAUUAUGAUAUUUUUAUCCGAA